GGGUAGUUUGACUGGGGCGGUCUCCUCCUAAAGAGUAACGGAGGAGCACGAAGGUUGGCUAAUCCUGGUCGGACAUCAGGAGGUUAGUGCAAUGGCAUAAGCCAGCUUGACUGCGAGCGUGACGGCGCGAGCAGGUGCGAAAGCAGGUCAUAGUGAUCCGGUGGUUCUGAAUGGAAGGGCCAUCGCUCAACGGAUAAAAGGUACUCCGGGGAUAACAGGCUGAUACCGCCCAAGAGUUCAUAUCGACGGCGGUGUUUGGCACCUCGAUGUCGGCUCAUCACAUCCUGGGGCUGAAGUAGGUCCCAAGGGUAUGGCUGUUCGCCAUUUAAAGUGGUACGCGAGCUGGGUUUAGAACGUCGUGAGACAGUUCGGUCCCUAUCUGCCGUGGGCGCUGGAGAACUGAGGGGGGCUGCUCCUAGUACGAGAGGACCGGAGUGGACGCAUCACUGGUGUUCGGGUUGUCAUGCCAAUGGCACUGCCCGGUAGCUAAAUGCGGAAGAGAUAAGUGCUGAAAGCAUCUAAGCACGAAACUUGCCCCGAGAUGAGUUCUCCCUGACUCCUUGAGAGUCCUGAAGGAACGUUGAAGACGACGACGUUGAUAGGCCGGGUGUGUAAGCGCA
rnacentral:rRNA from 1 species